rnacentral:rRNA from 1 species
CACGUAGGGUGCGAGCGUUGUCCGGAAUCAUUGGGCGUAAAGGGUGCGUAGGCGGCGCGGUAAGUCGGGUGUGAAAUCUCGGAGCUUAACUCCGAAACUGCAUUCGAUACUGCCGUGCUUGAGGACUGGAGAGGAGACUGGAAUUUACGGUGUAGCGGUGAAAUGCGUAGAUAUCGUAAGGAAGACCAGUGGCGAAGGCGGGUCUCUGGACAGUUCCUGACGCUGAGGCACGAAGGUCAGGGGAGCAAACGGG